GGCAGCAACAUUAAUGUCCCCUCUGGCCCUGCUCUCGUGAUGUAACAGACCCCAUGUCCCAACACUGUUGAAUCAGAGAUCAUGUUUCCAACAUGGGACCUUGGUGGGCACCCAUCCGACCAUCACAUGGUUGCAGCAAACUGAAAAACCGAGUGUCUACAAGGAAGUGGCGGUUAUGACCGAAUAGCGCUGAAAAGAAACCAACAAAGCUUGCAAAGAACGGAAAUACCAAGAAAACACAGUGUAAAGGACAGGGAGCCAUGGAAGGUUUCUGUGGAGUAGAAUGGCACGAGAAUGCACAAACAGCAGCUCCGUAGACCGUUGUGUGGGAAAGAAAAGAUGCUGUCUUCAUUUAUCAAAUGAGUACACCACGGUUCAGAAAGCUUCGGAUAACUCAGUGGAAGUGGAUUAAACCAAACUGUGGAGCAGAAUUUCAAGCCUAGAAAUGCCAAACCGUUGUUGUCGUUCUUAGGUGUGAGACUGUGCUCAUUCAUUUAUGUUUUGCUGCAGGAUGCAUUCUCUUUCCAAUAUGAUGACGAUGGGGAAAUUGUGACUUCAUCAACUUCUCUACCAUGACGUUUCAUUUCUAAACAACUCUCCCAUUUCCCUGCACAUGGUUGAAAAUAAGAACUAUGUGGUGUCUGGAGAUUUUAUGACCCCAUAUACCUUCCUGCUACCAGGCUAGCUUUACCAUGACAAAAUCACUUUUACAUAAAGCAUUUCAAUAAACAAAAAGACACUAUUGAGUAAGCACAAAACAUACCCCCAGUACAUAAAAAAACAUAGAAAUAUA
rnacentral:lncRNA from 1 species